rnacentral:rRNA from 1 species
AUCUUGGCUCACCAAGGCGACGAUCCGUAACUGGUCUGAGAGGAUGAUCAGUCACACUGGAACUGAGACACGGUCCAGACUCCUACGGGAGGCAGCAGUGGGGAAUAUUGGACAAUGGGCGAAAGCCUGAUCCAGACAUGCCGCGUGUGUGAAGAAGGUCUUCGGAUUGUAAAGCACUUUAAGUUGGGAGGAAGGGUUGUAGAUUAAUACUCUGCAAUUUUGACGUUACCGACAGAAUAAGCACCGGCUAACUCUGUGCCAGCAGCCGCGGUAAUACAGAGGGUGCAAGCGUUAAUCGGAAUUACUGGGCGUAAAGCGCGCGUAGGUGGUUUGUUAAGUUGGAUGUGAAAUCCCCGGGCUCAACCUGGGAACUGCAUCCAAAACUGGCAAGCUAGAGUAUGGUAGAGGGUGGUGGAAUUUCCUGUGUAGCGGUGAAAUGCGUACAUAUAGGAAGGAACACCAGUGGCGAAGGCGACCACCUGGACUGAUACUGACACUGAGGUGCGAAAGCGUGAGGAGCACACAGGAUUAGAUACUCUGGUAGUCCACGCCGUAGACGAUGUCAACUAGCCGUUGGGAGCCUUGAGCUCUUAGUGGCGCAGCUAACGCAUUAAGUUGACCGCCUGGGGAGUACGGCCGCAAGGUUAACACUCAAAUGAAUUGACGGUGGCCCGCACAAGCGGUGGAGCAUGUGGUUUAAUUCGAAGCAACGCGAAGAACCUUACCAGGCCUUGACAUCCAAUGAACUUUCCAGAGAUGGA